CCUACGGGGGGCAGCAGUGAGGAAUAUUGGUCAAUGGACGAGAGUCUGAACCAGCCAAGUCGCGUGAAGGAUGACUGCCCUAUGGGUUGUAAACUUCUUUUAUCUGGGAAUAAAACGUUCCACGUGUGGGAUUUUGUAUGUACCAUAUGAAUAAGGAUCGGCUAACUCCGUGCCAGCAGCCGCGGUAAUACGGAGGAUACGAGCGUUAUCCGGAUUUAUUGGGUUUAAAGGGUGCGGAGGUGGAUUGUUAAGUCAGUUGUGAAAGUUUGCGGCUCAACCGUAAAAUUGCAGUUGAAACUGGCAGUCUUGAGUACAGUAGAGGUAGGCGGAAUUCGUGGUGUAGCGGUGAAAUGCUUAGAUAUCACGAAGAACUCCGAUUGCGAAGGCAGUUCACUGGACUGCAACUGACACUGAGGCUCGAAAGUGUGGGUAUCAAACAGGAUUAGAUACCCGAGUAGUC
rnacentral:rRNA from 1 species